AGCGAACGCUGGCGGCAGGCUUAACACAUGCAAGUCGAACGGUUGUAGCAAUACAGCAGUGGCAGACGGGUGAGUAACACGUGGGAACCUUCCUAGGGGUACGGAACAACUCAGGGAAACUUGAGCUAAUACCGUAUACGUCCGUGAGGAGAAAGAUUUAUCGCCCUUAGACGGGCCCGCGUCGGAUUAGCUAGUUGGUGGGGUAACGGCCUACCAAGGUGACGAUCCGUAGCUGAUCUUAGAGGAUGAUCAGCCACACUGGGACUGAGACACGGCCCAGACUCCUACGGGAGGCAGCAGUGGGGAAUCUUGGACAAUGGGCGCAAGCCUGAUCCAGCCAUGCCGCGUGAGUGAAGAAGGUCUUCGGAUUGUAAAGCUCUUUUGCCAGGGACGAUAAUGACGGUACCUGGAGAAUAAGCCCCGGCAAACUUCGUGCCAGCAGCCGCCGUAA
rnacentral:rRNA from 1 species